AUUAAUCGAAACCCAUUCACCAAUGGGCAAAGUCACUGGUGCCUAAGAUAUAUUGCAAACUGAUUUAGACAAUGGAAGAGCAGUGAUGUGGUCUGUCGCGCCACUAUCAAUAAUCCAUUCUUGCGAAUGGUAUGAAGGCACACUUGCUGCUGCAUUAAUCUGAGUUUCGGAUGCAUGGACCUUGCCAGCGUCAGCUGCGGAAGCUUUGCUGCACAUGAACGCCAGGAGCUACUGGUAUUGUUCAUUAAACAAGGUCAGCGAAGCUGCCCCCUGAGAAGCAUGGACAUUGUUGGCUACGACACUUCCAAUGUGGGACAUUUUUCACUUGCUAGAUAUGUCAACUUUCCAAUGUAGGAUAUUUUCCACUUCACAUCCCAGACCCUUUUUUUCUUUUUCUUUUUUAAUGUCAGAAGAAGGAUCAAAGGAGAUGAACUCGAGAUUCUCAUGUAUUGAAAGUAUUAAUGAAUGACCCUUACAAUGAUUGGAGAUGUUGGUAUGCAC
rnacentral:lncRNA from 1 species